rnacentral:ribozyme from 1 species
UCCGACCGUUGCUGCUACCUUGACGUGGUGAUCGGACUUACAUAUCGUAACGAACCAGUCUAGCUAUACUGGCCGGAACAAUCGUUCCUCAAGGUUCCACCAUGCCAGACAGGUCGGUUGAAAGGCGGUAAGACUAAAAGCAGC